UACGUAGGGGGCAAGCGUUAUCCGGAUUUACUGGGUGUAAAGGGAGCGUAGACGGUUAUGCAAGUCUGAAGUGAAAGCCCAAGGCUCAACCAUGGGACUGCUUUGGAAACUGUAAAACUGGAGUGCAGGAGAGGUAAGCGGAAUUCCUAGUGUAGCGGUGAAAUGCGUAGAUAUUAGGAGGAACACCAGUGGCGAAGGCGGCUUACUGGACCGUAACUGACGUUGAGGCUCGAAAGCGUGGGGAGCAAACAGG
rnacentral:rRNA from 1 species